rnacentral:rRNA from 1 species
AUUGAACGCUGGCGGCAGGCCUAACACAUGCAAGUCGAACGGUAACAGGGAUCAGCUUGCUGAUUCGCUGACGAGUGGCGGACGGGUGAGUAAUGUCUGGGAAGCUGCCUGAUGGAGGGGGAUAACUACUGGAAACGGUAGCUAAUACCGCAUAACGUCGCAAGACCAAAGAGGGGGACCUUCGGGCCUCUUGCCAUCGGAUGUGCCCAGAUGGGAUUAGCUAGUAGGUGGGGUAACGGCUCACCUAGGCGACGAUCCCUAGCUGUUCUGAGAGGAUGACCAGCCACACUGGAACUGAGACACGGUCCAGACUCCUACGGGAGGCAGCAGUGGGGAAUAUUGCACAAUGGGCGCAAGCCUGAUGCAGCCAUGCCGCGUGUAUGAAGAAGGCCUUCGGGUUGUAAAGUACUUUCAGCGGGGAGGAAGGGAGUAAAGUUAAUACCUUUGCCCAUUGACGUUACCCGCAGAAGAAGCACCGGCUAACUCCGUG